GACGAACGCUGGCGGCGUGCUUAACACAUGCAAGUCGAACGAAGUGGCGAACGGGUGAGUAACGCGUAAUACACCUGCCCUUCAGAGGGGGACAACAGUUGGAAACGACUGCUAAUCCCGCAUACUGAAGGUGGGGAUUGCGUUUGAUUAGCUAGUUGGGGGGGUAACGGCCCACCAAGGCGAUGAUCAGUAGCCGGUCUGAGGAGAUGAACGGCCACAAUGGGACUGGAACACGGCCCAGACUCCUACGGGGGGCAGCAGGUGGGAAUCUUCCGCAAUGGACGGAAGGCUGACGGAGCAACGCCGCGUGAGUGGUGACGGCCUUUGGGUUGGAAAGCUCUGUUAAUCGGGGCGCGGUACCGGAAUAGAAAGCCACGGCUAACUACGUGCCAGCAGCCGCGGUAAUUC
rnacentral:rRNA from 1 species